GACACAACAAAGUCUCCAUUUUUGAAACCUGAUGCAGAUGUUGCAUGUUGUCAUGACUUGGAAGCAUAUUUGCAUUUGGUGGAUGGAUAUUUGGGAUCAAAUGAAUCAUUUAGACCAAAUGCUAAGAGGAGUCUUGAGAAGUUGUUAAGUGAACAAAGUGCUAAUAUUAAGAAAUUGUAUACUAGUAAGGGUAAAGAUUUGAGUAGUCUCAAUCUUAAUAGAGAAAUUAAUUUUCCUAGGCCUAGUUGUUUG
rnacentral:misc_RNA from 1 species